rnacentral:rRNA from 1 species
AGUUUGAUCAUGGCUCAGAUUGAACGCUGGCGGCAUGCUUUACACAUGCAAGUCGAACGGUAACAGGCCUUCGGGUGCUGACGAGUGGCGAACGGGUGAGUAAUGCAUCGGAACGUGCCCAAUCGGUGGGGGAUAACGUAGCGAAAGUUACGCUAAUACCGCAUAAGCCCUGAGGGGGAAAGUGGGGGACCGCAAGGCCUCACGCGAAUGGAGCGGCCGAUGUCAGAUUAGCUAGUUGGUGGGGUAAAGGCCCACCAAGGCGACGAUCUGUAGCGGGUCUGAGAGGAUGAUCCGCCACACUGGAACUGAGACACGGUCCAGACUCCUACGGGAGGCAGCAGUGGGGAAUUUUUCGCAAUGGGCGCAAGCCUGACGAAGCAACGCCGCGUGGAGGAUGAAGGUCUUCGGAUUGUAAACUCCUGUCGACCGGGACGAAUGCACUCGACCUAAUACGUCGGAAUGUUGACGGUACCGGUGGAGGAAGCCACGGCUAACUCUGUG